CGCCUUCCCGGCCGGCCGUCCCUUUCCGCCCGCCUGUGGUUGGGCCCGGCCCGGAGGGAGGCUCUGCAGGGAGAGAGCUGCUUCAGGGAGGUCCCAGCGUUUGAAAACGAAUUGAAAUGUGCGCUUCCUCUUAGUGAAGGAGUACGACGUGGUCUUGCAUUUGCAGCGGGUUUCACGAGCAGAGGAGAAAAGGCAGGGUGCUGUGCAUUGCAGAGGAAUUUCAACUCUGAGAAGCUGCAGGACAUUGUGAGGAGAACUGGCCAGAGGGCAGUCGCUCAGCCUCACGACGACAGAUUACAGAGAAUUGUGCUUCAGAGGAGGUGGGAAUUAUGAGCGUACUUCUCAAACAGUUCUGAAGGAAGCUGUGCAAACACAUCUGAAGAAACAUUCCUGGAAGAAUUUUAAUCUGUUUGUUUUAAAAAGCACACCACUUAUUUCUAUUAAAUUUUGAAAUUCCCUGAACUAGGCAGCUUUUAUUGCGUACCAUCAUCCUAAAUAAAUAUUUUGGCAUAGUGCAUUUCCAAAACAUGCAUAAAACCUUAUGACACUCUCAAAGAUUCAGAUAAGCAUUAAAAGUAAAAUUAGGCAUGUCGUCUUCAGAAUUGUUCUCUCACUGUUGAGAAAUUAAUUACAUGAAUGUGAGUGAUUUAAUUCAACAGAUUUUUUAGUCCAACAAAUUUUUUUAGAAAAUCAUGUCUGUGGUAAGAAAAACCAUCUGAUAAUUUGAAAUAAGAAGGCUUAUUUUAUUUGGAAACAUCAUUUGAAAAUACUUUCCUCCUGUUUCCAAGAGCAGAUCAAACACCUUUCUUUAAUCUUAGCUGGUAAGAUGGUAAAAUUUCAGCUUGUCAAAAUUUCAGUUUAUCAUGAUAAGCAUUUUCCAUUUUCUGUGAAGUUGGUAUCAGAAUGAUUAACAAAAAAAAUUAAGGUGGCAGUUGGAGUACUUUCCUAUAGAGGUAAGUGGGAGACAGGUGCUGAAUAUAAAUUUCUCUUUAAUAAAGUGUUACCAUGACUAUAAUAAUUAAGAAUUCUUUGAUGUCUCAUCUAGCAGCUGUAAUUAAUAGAAACGAUAAAAUACCAUGCAGCGAAAUUGCAGUGUGUUAUGGUUCCAAGUUUCCCACUGGGGCUUUAACUGAGCAGCAAAGUCCCUUUCCAAGGCACGGAAUUCAAGGAGAUGAGAAGCAGAGGGGCUGUGGGCAGACUCAGGUGGGACCUGUGAGAGCACUACUGUCACAUGCUUCUUUGAUGCUUUGUGUGGAAGAUGCACUACAAUAAUUCUGGGAAGCCAAAGAACAGAGCCUUUGAACUCUACUCUAUGCUCAGGCUGCCUUUAUUUUGGCGUGGGCCAACAUUUUGUUCAGAGAGCAGCUUUUACAAUGAAACAAAUUUUAAAAGGCACUUCAGAGUUACCAAACAGUAACAUCUACCCAUCCCACUCGACUCCUCUCACCUCUCCAAGUGACGAUCCAACCACUGCAACAUCUAAGGGUGUCCACGGGCAGGAAGCUGGAUGCUGGAAUAGCAAGGUGCUGCCUCGUGCAUUCACUCCAACAGAACGCUGAGGAACGGGGCAUCUCCUGCCACAAUGAGGGCAGUGGCCAUCAGCUGAUGCUAGAACCUAACCCGCUCCGUAUCUGAGCUUCUCAGCUCCCGUCUCUCCCCUCCUCUCACUGCCAAAAUAAAGUUCCUGACAAGAGCAUCUUCCUACCUGCUGUUUUCUUCCUUAACCUUAUCUUUAGCUCCUUCAAUUCCUUCCUGUGUCAGACAGCAUCAGACCUAAACGCCUGUAUUUGCACACGGAACAUAUGCAUACAGCUCAAUACGUUUUCUUUAAGAGGGCCUUUUCCUGCUCUCUGUACUGCGGCGCGUUAUACGAGUCCAGUCUCUGUCGAACCGGCUGAUUUUUGCCUCUGACUGAACCCGAACCAGGGCCGCUGUGGCAGAGAUAUGAACAGAGAUGUGUCUGAGGCUUUCAGCUCCCGAAGCUGCCG